GCGCCCGUAGCUCAGCUGGAUAGAGCGCCGGACUUCGAAUCCGUAGGCCGGGGGUUCGAGUCCCUCCGGGCGCGCCA
rnacentral:tRNA from 2 species